UAGUGUAUCAGUUAAUGAGUGUUGUAUUAAGUGUAUGUUUACCUGUUAUAGGACCAAGAUUAGCAUUACUGGUACUGACUUCCAUAUCAUCAUUAGUACUUCUUCCAGCUGUAGGACGAUCUGUCACUUUGUCUUCAAUAGUUCUAGCUAGUUCAUUCUCUUUACAUUGUUUCAAAGCAUUAAUGACAUCUCUCCAUGAUGCUGUAGGAUAAACUUGUAACCAUCUCUUAUGUAAAGCCAUUUUCAUGAGGAAGAAAAAGAGCAAAUGUUUUCCAGUCAACAAGUGGUUUAAGACACUUUGCAAAUAAGAGACAA